UUUCCUCCUAUGUUUUCUUCUAGCAGUUCUUUAAUUUCAGAAAAUACAGAAUUAUCUACAAUAGCCAAGAAGUGGAAGCAACCCAAGUGUCCACCAAACGACAGAUGGAUAAAGAAAAUGAGGGACAAAAUGGCAGCAGCCAGCCUGACCAUUCCCUUCCCAUCAUGAGGGAGAGGGCUGUGGUAUGGACAGCAGCAGCUGACUGGCCACAGGUGCAGCCACUGCCAUCCAGCCCCGACUCAUUCCUAGAAUAAGAACCACCAGACUGCCCUCUGACACCUGCCUCAGCGGUCCCCACCACUCCUCAAACCCUGUCACCGUCCACAGACAAGCCCUGGAGGGGUGGGGAAAAGGUUUCAUUGUGAGAAACCACUGGGGAUCCUGAAGUUAAAACUCAUCAAAGUGUGGGGAAAACUAAGACUGGCCUAGCAGGAUUUUUACUCUCAAGCUAAUCUACACUCAACCUCAAAGAAUUUAUUAAAAUUCACAUUUAACCAUCUUAUCAGUAUACAUCUUCAAGAGCUUUCGUUUCUGGUACAAAAGUUUCAGCUGCAGUUACUUGUAUUCAUCUGUCUCUUCAGAUUUCGAGGUGGUGGUCUGUCUUGUGAGCUCAAGUCUCUGGUGAUUCUAAUAAAUGUCAUUGAUUUUUUAAGUCUUCUCAGAUUUAUUUCUUGUUUUUAGGAUGGGAGUGGUGACUUCCAAGCUUUUUACAUGUGAAAGGUAAACCAAAGUCAACGUGAAUCUCCUCUUCAUGUCUACAACUGAGCAACAGGUUUUUCAAACCUUGUAGCUCAACCCCUACUAUCUGACAGUCUUUCAGACACAGCUAAGAGUCUAUAUAUCUUUCUGUUUCACAACCUCGCUCUGAUACUCUCUGUGUGUUUCAUCAUUCUAUCUUUUAGCAUGGUUAGGAUGAUCCUCACCUAGAAUGGAGAAACCUCCAGAGAUUUGAAUCUGAGAAAACUAAGUUUCCUUGAUUCUUCAGUGUUUUUUCUGACUACUCAAUAGCAG
rnacentral:lncRNA from 1 species